AAAAUAACCAAAAUAAGAAAAAGGUAGUAGAAAUCAGUCUCAACACCCUCCCCCCACCCCAAAUAAAAACAAAUCAUCCCCAUCAUUCACGGCGGUUCGGUCUUGGAUGUUCUACAUAUGGGUUUGCAAACCUCUCUUUGUGGGCUAACUGUUGAGAUGGAAUUAGACAAGUUCAUAUUAUUUGGUAUCAAAGUCUCACUCUGCACAAGUCAGUAAGCCAUAUACAAAGGUUCUCUGACGUUCUUCAGGAGAGGUCGGAGUGAAUGAGUCAUGACCCUGGUUGCUUCACGAGGACGUUCA
rnacentral:misc_RNA from 1 species